UUCUGGCUCAGGAUGAACGCUAGCGACAGGCUUAACACAUGCAAGUCGAGGGGCAGCAUAAAAGUAGCAAUACUUGGUGGCGACCGGCGCACGGGUGAGUAACGCGUAUGCAACCUACCUAUCGAGAGGGGAAUAACCCGGCGAAAGUCGGACUAAUACCGCAUAAAACAGGGGCACCGCAUGGUGAUAUUUGUUAAAGAAAUUCGCUGAUAGAUGGGCAUGCGUUCCAUUAGGUAGUUGGUGAGGUAACGGCUCACCAAGCCGACGAUGGAUAGGGGAACUGAGAGGUUGGUCCCCCACACUGGUACUGAGACACGGACCAGACUCCUACGGGAGGCAGCAGUGAGGAAUAUUGGUCAAUGGGCGGGAGCCUGAACCAGCCAAGUCCGCGUGAAGGAAGAAGGAUCUAUGGUUCGUAAACUUCUUUUGCAGGGGAAUAAAGUGCAGGACGUGUCCUGUUUUGUAUGUACCCUGAGAAUAAGGAUCGGCUAACUCCGUGCCAGCCGCCGC
rnacentral:rRNA from 1 species